rnacentral:rRNA from 1 species
AGUGAACGCUGGCGGUAGGCCUAACACAUGCAAGUCGAACGGCAGCACAGUAAGAUCUUGCUCUUACGGGUGGCGAGUGGCGGACGGGUGAGGAAUACAUCGGAAUCUACUUUUUCGUGGGUGAUAACGUAGGGAAACUUACGCUAAUACCUCAUACGACCUACGGGUGAAAGCAGUGGUUCUUCGGACCUUUCGCGAUUCAAUUAGCCGAUGUCGGACUAGCUAGUUGGCGGGGUAAAGGCCCACCAAGGCGACGAUGCGUAGCUGGUCUGAGAGGAUGAUCAGCCACACUGGAACUGAGACACGGUCCAGACUCCUACGGGAGGCAGCAGUGGGGAAUAUUGGACAAUGGGCGAAAGCCUGAUCCAGCCAUACCGCGUGGGUGAAGAAGGCCUUCGGGUUGUAAAGCCCUUUUGUUGGGAAAGAAAAGCAGCAGGUUAAUACCCCGCUGUUCUGACGGUACCCAAAGAAUAAGCACCGGCUAACUUCGUG